GCCAAUGGUACAAGAUGGGACACUACCACCCUGGAGUGGUACUACCGCCGGCCCGGGUGGUACUACCGAUGAUAAGAGGUAGUACCGCUCCAGGGAGCUGUACGAACACUUGGAUCAUUCCACAUAGACCACAGACAACAGAUGAAAACCAGAACUACCAUAACUUUUGCAUAGGAACUCCGAAUUGAGGAAACUCAAGCUUGUUGGAUUCACGACGACAAGAGCUAUCCAACAACAAUGAUAUAGAGAUGUGAAAGAUCUACGAAUGAAGAACCGGCAAAAACUCCAACAUCGAAAACAUCAUAGAAGAUGCGCAUAAACUCCGUUUUCGAUGAACUCGUGCUUGUCGCAAAUAUGACCAUAAUCUCUAAAAUUCACAAAGAGAACCACCAAACAAGAACCAAGAAAUAUGAUGCAUGGAUGCAAAUGGUUUGAGUUCUCAAAGAAUGAUACGAUCAAGCUACUCACUUGAGAGCCCCCCUGUAACGCCUAAGAUGCGAUCCUAUCCUUAUGUUGGCGCGAGGGCCUCGACGGGGAUAGAAACACAUCUCGUUGUUUCACAAGAAUGGAUAUUGUAACAAGUACAUGUACUGAAAAGAUAAGUUUAAGGAGUUGGCUUACACUCGCCACAAGCUACAUCAAUAUCACAUCAAUAGAGCAAUAUACAGUCAUCAUGAAGAAGAGCCGGGUCCGGGUACGGACGAAAACAAACGAUAAAAGAAUGACGUACAUCCUUGCUAUCCUAGGCUGCCGGCCUGGAACCCAUCCUAGAUCAUGAAGAAGAA
rnacentral:lncRNA from 1 species